CAGAACCCCAGGCCUUUCUGCCUGUUGGAGAAAGUUGGCGCACAGAACCUUAGGCCUUUCUUCCUGUCAGAGAAAGAUGGUACACAGAACCAUAGGCCUUUCUUCCCGUUGGAGAAAGAUGAAAUGUAGGAUCACAGACGUUGAGCCCUGUUGGAGAAAGAUGGCCCACAGAACCCCAGGCCUUUCUGCCUGUUGGAGAAAGAUGGCAUGCAGACUUUCUGCCUGUCAAAGAAAGAAGGCCUGCAGAACCACAGGCCUUUCUUCCCAUUGAAGAAAGUUGGCACACAGAACCUUAGGCCUUUCUUCCUGUCAGAGAAAGAUGGCACACAGAACCACAGCCUUUCUUCUCGUUGGAGAAAGAUGAAAUGCAGGAUCACAAAUGUUGAGCCCUGUUGGAGAAAGAUGGCCCACAGAACCCCAGGCCUUUUGCCUGUUGGAGAAAGAUGGCAUGCAGAACCAUUGGCCUUUCUUCCUCUUGAAGAAAGUUGGCGCACAGAACCUUAGGCCUUUUUUCCUGUCAGAGAAAGAUGGCACACAGAACCAUAGGCCUUUCUGCCUGUUGGAAAAAGAUGGCAUGCAGAACCAUUGGACUUUCUGCCCAUCAAAGAAAGAAGGCCUGCAGAACCACAGGCCUUUCUUCCCAUCGAAGAAAGUUGGCGCACAGAACCUUAGGCCUUUCUUCCUGUCAGAGAAAGAUGGCACACAGAACCAUAGGCCUUUCUUCCCAUUGGAGAAAGAUGAAAUGUAGGAUCACAGACCUUGAGCCCUGUUGGAGAAAGAUGGUCCACAGAACCCCAGGCCUUUCUGCCUGUUGGAGAAAGAUGGCAUGCAGAACCAUUGGACUUUCUGUCUUUCAAAGAAAGUAGGCCUGCAGAACCACAGGCAUUUCUGCCUGUUGGAGAAAGAUGGCAUGCAGACUUUCUGCCCGUCAAAGAAAGAAGGCCUGCAGAAUCACAGGCCUUUCUUCCCAUUGAAGAAAAUUAGCACACAGAACCUUAGGCCUUUCUUCCUGUCAGAGAAAGAUGGCACACAGAACCCCAGGCCUUUCUGCCUGUUGGAGAAAGAUGGCAUGCAGAACCAUUGGACUUUUGCCCAUCAAAGAAAGAAGGCCUGCAGAACCACAGGCCUUUCUUCCCAUUGAAGAAAGUUGGUGCACAGAACCUUAGGCCUUUCUUCCUGUCAGAGAAAGAUUGGACACAGAACUAUAGCCUCUCUUCCCAUUGGAGAAAGAUGAAAUGUAGGAUCACAAACGUUGAGACCUGUUGGAGAAAGAUGGCCCACAGAACCCCAGGCCUUUCUGCAUGUUGGAGAAAGAUGGCAUGCAGAAGCAUUGGACUUUCUGCCCAUCAAAGAAAGGCCUGCAGAACCACAGGCCUUUCUUUCUGUUGAAGAAAGUUGGCGCACAGAAUCUUAGGCCUUUCUUCCUGUCAGAGAAAGAUGGCCCACAGAACCAUAGGCUUUUCUUCCCGUUGGAGAAAGAUGAAAUGUAGGAUCACAGACCUUGAGCCCUGUUGGAGAAAGAUGUCCCACAGAACCAUAGGCAUUUCUGCCUGUUGGAGAAAGAUGGCAUGCAGAACCAUUGGACUUUCUGCCCAUCAAAGAAAGAAGGCCUGCAGAACCAUAGGCUUUUCUUUCUGUUGAAGAAAGUUGACGCACAGAACCUUAGGCCUUUCUUCCUGUCAGAGAAAGAUGGUGCACAAAACCAUAGCCUUUCUUCCCGUUGGAGAAAGAUGAAAUGUAGGAUCACAGACCUUGAACCCUGUUGGAGAAAGAUGGCCCACAGAACCCCAGGCCUUUCUGCCUGUUGGAGAAAAAUGGCAUGCAGAAUCAUUGGACUUUCUGCCUGUCAAAGAAAGAAGGCCUGUAGAACCACAGGCCUUUAAGCCUGUUGGAGAAAGAUGGCCCAUGGAACUACAGGUCUUUCUGCCAAUUAGAGAAAGAUGGCUCACAGAAAUAUAAGCCUUUCUCCCCUUCAGAGAAAGAUAGCCCACAGAACCAUAGGCCUUUUUGUCUGUCAGAAAAAGAUGGCUCACCUAACCACAGACUUUUCUGCCUGUCAGAGAAAAUGGCCAGGAGAACCACAGGUCUUUCUGUCUGCCAGAGAAAGGUAGCCUGCAGAACCAGAGGCCUUUCUGCCCGUCAGAAAAAGAUGGCUCACUGAACCACAGGCCUUUAAGCCUAUUGGAGAAAGAAGGCCCACAGAACCACAGGCUUUUCUGCCAGCUGGAGAAAGAUGACAUGCAGAAUCACAGGCCUUUAAGCCUGUUGGAGAAAGAAGGCCCACAGAACCACAGGCCUUUCUGCCAGUUGGAGAAAGAUGGCACAAAGAACCAUAUGACUUUGUGCUCAUCAGAGAAAGAUGAUGAACACAAUCAUAGGCCUUUCUGCCCAUUGGAGAAAAAUGGUGAGCAAGUCCACAGGCCUUUAAUUAAGCCUGCUGGAAAAAGAUGGCCCACACAUACACAGGCCUUUCUGCCUGUCAGAAAAGAUGGCCUGGAGAACCACAGGCCUUUUUGCCUGUUGGAAAAGAUGGUGCACAGAAAUUUAGACCUUGUUUCCUGUCAGAGAAAGAUGACCCACAGAACUAUAGGCAUUUCUUCCCCUUGUAGAAAGAUGGUAUGCAGAACCACAGGACUUUAACACUGUUGGAGAAAGAUGGCCCACAGAACCACAGACCUUUCUGCUUAUUGGAGAAAGAUGGCAUGGAGAACCACAGGACUUUCUGCUUUUGGAGACACACAGAACCAUAGGCCUUUCUGCACAUUGGAGAAAGAUAGAUUGUAGAACCAUAGGCCUUUCUCCCUUUCAAAGAAAGAUCUCCCAUCGAACCACAGGCUUUUUUCCCUGUCAGAGAAAGGUGGCUCACAGAACCAUAGGCCUUUGUGUCCAUCAGAAAAAUAUGGUUCAGAGAAUCACAGGGCUUUCUGCCUGUUGGAAAAAGUUGGCACGCAGAACCUUAGGCCUUUCUUCCUGUCAGAGAAAGAUGGCCCACAGAACCAUAGGCUUUUCUUCCCAUUGGAGAAAGAUGGCAUGCAGAACCACAGGCCUUUAAGCCUUUUGGAGAAAAAUGGUCCACAGAACUACAUGUCUUUCUGCCCAUUGGAGAAAGAUGGCCCACAGAACUACUAGCUUUUCUGCCUGUCAGAAAAAGAUGGCUCACUGAACCACAGGCCUUUCUGCCUACUGGAGAAAAAUGGUGCACAGAACCUUAGGGAUGUCUUCCUGUUGGAGAAUUAUUGCCCACAGAACCAUGGGCCUUUCUUCCCGUUGGAGAAAAGAUGGCGUGCAGAAUCACGGGCCUUUAAGCUUGUUGGAGAAAGAUAGCAUAUAGAACCAUAGUACUUUCUGCACGUCAUUGGAUGGUCGGCAGGAACCACAGGCCUUUAAGCCUGUUGGAGAAAGAAGGUCCACAGAACUACAGGCUUUUCUGCCCGUUGGAGAAAGAUGGUGUGCAAAACCAUAUGGCUUUCUGCUCGUCAGAGAAAGAUGGCCCACCCAACCACAAGCCUUUAUGCCUGUCAGAGAAGAUGGCCUGGAUAAUUACAGGCCUUUCUGUCUGUUGGAGAAAGAUAGCAUACAGAAACUUAGGCCUUUCUUCCUGUUAGAGAAAUAUGUCCCACAGAACCAUAGGCCUUUCUUCCCCUUGGAGAAAGAUGGCGUACAGAACCACAGGACUUUCUGACUGUUAGAGAAAUUUGGCACACAGAACCUUAGGCAUUUUUUCCUGUUGGAGAAUUAUUGCCCACAGAACCAUGGGCCUUUCUUCCCGUUGGAGAAAAGAGGGCGGGCAAAAUCACGGGCUUUUAAGCCUGUUGGAGAAAGAUAGCAUAUAGAACCAUAGUACUUUCUGCAUGUCGUUGGAUGGUCGGCAGGAAGCACAAGCCUUUAAGCCUGUUGGAGAAAGAAGGUCCACAGAACCACAGGCUUUUCUGCCCAUUGGAGAAAGAUGGUGUGCAAAACCAUAUAACUUUUACUCAUCAGAGAAAGAUGGCCCACCCAACCACAGGCCUUUCUGCCUGUCAGAGAAGAUGGGUUGGAUAAUCACAGGUCUUUCUGUCUUUUGGAGAAAGCAUACAGAAACUUGGGCCUUUCCUCCUGUGGGAGAAAAAUGGCAUACAGAAUCACAGGACUUUCUGCCUGCUGGAGAAAUAUGGCACAUAGAACUUUAGGCAUUUCUUCCUAUUAGAGAAAGAUGACCCACAGAAGCACAGGCCUUUCUGCCUGUUGGAGAACUAUGAUACGAAGAACCUUAGUCACUUCUCCCUGUCGAAGUAUUGUGGCCCACAGAGCCAUAGGCCUCUUUUCCUUGAAGAAAGAUGGCAUGUAGAACCACAGGACUUUCUGCCUGUUGGAGAAAGAUGGCACACAGAACCUUAGGCAUUUCUUCCUGUCAGAGAAUUAGAGCCCACAGAACCAUGGGCCUUUUUCCCGUUGGAGAAAGAUGACAUGCAGAAUCACAGGCCUUUAAGCCUGUUGAAGAAAGAAGGCCCACAGAACCACAGGCUUUUCUGCCAAUUGGAGAAAGAUGACACGAAGAACCAUAUGACCCUCUGCUCGUCAGAGAAAGAUGACGAACACAAUCAUAGGCCUUUCUGCCUAUUUUGAAAAAAUGGUGAGCAAAACCAUAGGUCUUUAAGCCUGUCUGAAAAAGAUGGCCUACACAUACACAGGCUUUUCUACUUGUCAGUGAAGAUGGCCUGGAGAACCACAGGCCUUUUUGCCUGUUAGAAAAGAUAGUGCACAGAAACUUAGGCCUUUUUUUCCUGUCAAAGAAAAAUGGCCCACAGAACUAUAGGUCUUUCUGCUUUUGGAGAAUAAUGGCACACAGAACCAUAGGCCUUACUGCCCAUUGGAGAAAAAUGAACUGCAGAACCAUAGGCCUCUCUCCCUUUCAAAGAAAGAUUGCCCACAGAAUCACAGGCCUUUCUCCCUGUCAGAGAAAAGUGGCUCGCAGAACCAUAGGCCUUUGUGUCCAUCAGAAAAAGAUGGUUCAGAGAAUCACAGGCACUUCUGCCUGUUGGAAAAAGUUGGCCCACAGAACUUUAGGCCUUUCUUCCUGUCAGAGAAAGAUGGCCCGUAGAACCACAGGCUUUUCUUCCCGUUGGAGAAAGAUGGCAUGCAGAACCACAGGCCUUUUAAGCCUGUCAGAGAAAGCUGGCCCACAGAACCAUAGGUCUUUCUCCCUUUCAGAGAAAACUGGCCCACAGAACCAUAGGCCUUUCUGCCCGUCAGAAAAAGAUGGCUCACUGAACGGAGAAAGAAAGCACACAGAAUUUUAGACAUUUCUUCCUAUUGGAGAAUUAUUGCCCAUAGAACCCUGGGCCUUUCUUCCCGUUGGAGAAAAGAUGGCGUGUAGAAUCACAGGCCUUUAAGCCUGUUGGAGAAAGAAGGCCAACAGAACCACAGACUUUUCUGCCCGUUGGAGAAAGAUGGUGUGCAAAACCAUAUGACUUUUACUCAUCAGAGAAAGAUGGCCCACCCAAUCACAGGCCUUCUGCCUGUCAGAGAAGAUGGCCUGGAUAAUCACAGGCCUUUCUGUCUGUCGGAGAAAGAUAGCGUACAGAAACUUAGGCCUUUCUUCCUGUUGGAGAAAUAUGUCCCACAGAACCAUAGGCCUUUCUUCCCGUUGGAGAAAGAUGAAAUGUAGGAUCACAAACCUUGAAUCCUGUUGGAGAAAGAUGUCCCACAGAACCACAGGACUUUCUGCCUGUUGGAGAACUAUGGUGCAAAGAACCUUAGGCAUUUCUUCCUGUCGGAGAAUUGUGGCCCGCAGAACCAUUUCUUGGUUCUUUCUGACAUUGGAGAAUAAUGGCAUGUAGAAACAUAGACCUUUCUGCCCAUUGGAGAAAGAUGGCCUGUAGAACCAUAGGCCUUUCUUCCUUUCAGAGAAAGAUGGCCCGCAGAAUCCUAGGUCUUUUUGCUCAUCAGAGAAAGAUGGCCUGCAGAACCAUAGGCCUUUCUCCUUAUCAGAGAAAGGUGGCCACAGAAUCAUAGGCCUUUCUGCUCAUUGGAGAAAGAUGGCCCAUCUAACUACAGGCCUUUCUGCCUGUCAGAGAAAGAUGGCCUGAAGAACAACAGGCCUCUCUGCCUAUUGGAGAAAGAUGGCCCACAGAAGCAUAGGCCAUUCUUCCCAUUGGAGAAAGAUAGUGUGAGAACCACAGGCCUUCAAACCUAUUGGAGAAAGAUGGUCUACCCAACCACAGGCCUUUCUGUCUGUCAGAGAAAGGUGGCCUGGAGAACCACAGGCCUCUCUGCCUGUUGGAGAAAGAUGGUGCAUAGAAUCUUAGGCCUUUCUUCCAGCUGGAGAAAGAUGGCCCACAGAACCAUAAUGCUUUCUUCCCGUUGGAGAAAAAUGGCAUACAGAAUUACAGGCCUUUCUCUCUGACAGAGAGAAAGGCGGCCUGCAGAACCAUAGGCCUUUGUGCCCAUCAGAAAAAGAUGGCUCAGAGAAUCAAAGGCCUUUCUGCCUGUUGGAGAAAGUUGGCACACUGAACCUUAGACCUUUCUUCCUGUCAGAGAAAGAUGGCCCACAGAACCAUAGGCCUUUCUUCCCGUUGGAGAAAGAUGGAAUGCAGAAUCACAGGCCUUUAAGCCUGUUGGAGAAAGAUGGCCUACAGAACCACAAGCCUUUCUGCCCAUUGGAGAAAGAUGGCAUGCAGAACCAUUGAAUUUUCUGCCCGUCGGAGAAAAGAUGACCUGCAGAAUCAUGGCCUUUAAGCCUGUUGGAGAAAGAUAGCCCACAUAACUACAGGUCUUCCUGCUUAUUGGAGAAAGAUGACCCACAGAACCAUAAGCCUUUCUCCGUUUCAGAGCAAGAUGGCUCACAGAACCACAGGCCUUUCUUCCUGUCAGAGAAUUAUGGCCCACAGAACCAUGGGCCUUUCUUCCCGUUGGAGAAAGAUGGUGUGCAGAAUCACAGGCCUUUAAGCCUGUUGGAUAAAGAUAGCAUGUAGAACCAUAGGACUUUCUGCCCGUCAGAGAAAGAUGACAAAUAGAAUCAUAGGCCUUUUUGCCCAUUGGAGAAUAAUGGCGUGCAAAACCACAGGCCUUUCAGCCUGUUGGAAAAAAAUAUCUUGUAGGACCACAGGUCUUUCUGCCUGUCAGAGAUCACCUGGAGAACCAUAGGCCUUUCUGCCCAUUGGAGAAAGACAGCCAUAGAACCACAGGCCUUUCUUUCCAUUGGAGAAAGAUGGUGUGCAGAACCCCAAGCCUGUAAGCCUGUUAGAGAAGGAUGGUUCAUAGAACCACAGACCUUUAAGCUUGUUGGAGAAAGACUACCACAGAACCAUAGGCCUUUCUGCCUGAUGAAGAAAGAGGAGCUAUAAUACCACUAACCUUUCUGCCUGUUGGAGAAAGAUGAUGCACAGAAUCACAGGCCUUGCUGCCCAUUAGAGCUGUUUGUAGUGGUCCGAUUAGAGCAUAUUUUGAGUUGGAUGCUCAUCCUAACUAUAAAAUUGAGUAUACUGAUAAUCCAGAGAAUGAAAGAACAAAAAUAAGUCCUAGGUUGAGGUCUAGGAGUGUGUUGGGUAUGGGGAGAGGGGCAAUACCACAGGCCUUUAAGCCUGUCAGAGAAAGGUGGGGUGUAGAAUCAUAGACCUUUGUGCUGGUCAGAGAAAGAUGGCCUAUAGAACCACUGGCCUUUCUGCUUGUUGGAAAAAGAGAACCCAAAGAACCAUAAGCUAAGAUAUCAUUUCAUCAGUUUAUCAUCCUCCUCUGAUUUUAGGAACUAUUUGCUAUCCAUUAUGGCCUGUGAAACUGUGGAUUAACAAGAACUUCUGAAGGCAUUCAAAAAAAAAAUAGGAAAAAACUAUUUUAAAAACUAUCAUAUCAUUUAGUUAUUUGUCCCAGAACUAAAAAGGACCAGAACAAAACAAAACUCCAAUCCCAAGGUAUACAGUAAAAGAUGAGAGGAAGAGAAGGGUUCUAACUUGUGGAUAGGAGGAGCCAAACAAAGCAGACCAGAGACAGAAGAGAGUGGAAUCACACAGAAGUUUAAUUUCAAGGAAGGAAGGAAGAGAAGAACGAAAAUUUGGAACUCAA